rnacentral:lncRNA from 1 species
AUCUUAAAAGUUCCUAACCUACUCAUAUUCCCACAUAUUCCUUCAUGAAAUCAGACGAGAUAAAAUAUAAAAUUCUAGGGAUCUAAAGUAGAAUUCAGAUAUGAACUUUUCAAAGAAAUGCAUUCCUCCCGUUCUUCGAGCAGUAAUUUAAAAAUUUAUAGAGAGAAUUAUCCCCUCAACCGCUACAUACCUUUGAUGUCAACCAAAAGGACUGCCACGAGGUAAAAUCCAAAGGUCUUUAAGUUUUUCUGUCUUUAAAGUGUAGAAGAUAAAAUAGUUUCGAAUACCUAACGAGAUAUUAAAGUAAUUUUCUUAAAAGUUAGGUUUUUUUUACUUAUUUGUGUUUGAAUCGAGUUUUUCUAUUUGUGUCUAUGGUUUGUGUGUUUUUCUGUAUAUUUACUUAUAUAUGUCUCCGCAAACGAAAUGCUUUGUUGUUUUAAUUUUUAUUCAAAGAAAUUUCAGUACAAAACUUCAUGGAAGAAAAGUUCUCUGGAAUACUUUUUUUUGGAGUACUUUUUUAGAUUUUUUUUGGCUCGCAAGACUACUUAAAAUAAGAUGCAAUUUUUCUGAAAAAAAUAAAAAAGAAAGCCGAUGCAUGUGAUUUUCGUCUCUAAUUACAUACUUAUAUAUAUUUUAUCAAUAUCAUCUGUCUAUUGUAAGUAUCUUAUUGGACCAUUGGCCAAAAGUUAACAUUAAUAUAUUGAUUAAUAUAUUGACCACUUAACAUGGACCAUUGGCCAAAAGUUAAGAAACAAUAGUCAUAAUCGUGUUAGAUUUGCUUGUAGUUUGAAAACAAAGAGUUCUUCACAUUAAUAUAUUGAUAGUAAACUCAUUUUCUUGUUACGGGUUAGACGUGUACUUGGAUCAUGUAUUAAAUGAGCUUUAUCAUUUAAAAAUAAGAUUUUAAUAUGACAUGGGAUGUUAAAUAUGUAUUUGUUUUUUUUUGAGUCUAAAUGCAAUUGUUGGGUAAUUGUUUUGUCUUAAGUAAAACAUAAGUGACUUUGGCACCAUAUUUCAAUAACUUGUGACUACCCAAGAAAUUGACUCCAACAUUACAUAGCGGCAAUACACCUCUGUCCCUCAUAUUUUUUUAUUCUAAAUAGAUCCAAAAUGAGAUUUUCUAAAUGCAAAAACUUUAACUAUUUUACAACAAUUUUUGCUAUUAUACUGUGCAAAGUAUCAUUAACUUUUAUAAUACAAAAGUUAUAAAGUUAGUUUAAAUAAAUUAGUUGUUUAAAUAAAUCUAACUCUUAGUUUAAAAAAUGCAGCUCAUCACUGGUAUGUAUAGUAUUUGUUUAAAAUUUUUAUUUUAUUUUAAAGCAAAAAUUGUGUAGGGGUAAAAUUGGGGGCAAAAGUUUUCCGCGGUUUCUCAAUGAGAGAACGAAGGGGAAGCACGGCUCGAUGUAAUUAUGAUCGAGGCCAAGAACCCCUUGUAUCGAGCCCAGGAAGAAUGAACGAUGUAUCUGAGAUCGGACACGGCAAAGCGACGUACCCCGAACCAAGUAUGACUUCUGGACCUCGGGAGACGCGGUAAACAGUUAUGCAUGACAGAUAUGGGGGCAUAAUAUUUGCCCUCAGCCAGAUUUUACGGCACGAAUCCAGUUCGGUUUUAAUUAUAGAUCAACAAUUACCGAUUUUUUUUUUUUUAAUCUUUUUUAGACUUGUGCUGGGACUGAAAUUCCCCUACUAUAUAAAGGGGAAUUUUUUCUUUAGUUUGACACAUUAUAACCCGCAUUUCAAAGUAAUAAAAGUUUGCUUUUAUCUUCUAAAUAUUGUUCAAGGCAGUACUCAUUUGUUCUUCUCUUCACUCGCGACCGAGCUUGUACCGAGGGUCCAAUCGAGGACGAGUUUCACUGUUCAAUCUAAGAUCAGGCUUGG